CAGUCGAACGGACUCAUAUUGAAACCUAGUGAUUUAUGAGUUAGUGGCGGACGGGUGAGUAACGCGUGGAUAACCUGCCGUAUACCGGGGGAUAACACUUAGAAAUAGGUGCUAAUACCGCAUAAGCGCACGGCUCCGCAUGGGGCAGUGUGAAAAACUCCGGUGGUAUACGAUGGAUCCGCGUCUGAUUAGCUAGUUGGCGGGGUAACGGCCCACCAAGGCAGCGAUCAGUAGCCGGCCUGAGAGGGUGGACGGCCACAUUGGGACUGAGACACGGCCCAAACUCCUACGGGAGGCAGCAGUGGGGAAUAUUGCACAAUGGGGGAAACCCUGAUGCAGCGACGCCGCGUGAGUGAAGAAGUAUCUCGGUACGUAAAGCUCUAUCAGCAGGGAAGAAAAUGACGGUACCUGACUAAGAAGCCCCGGCUAACUACGUGCCAGCAGCCGCGGUAAUACGUAGGGGGCAAGCGUUAUCCGGAUUUACUGGGUGUAAAGGGAGCGUAGACGGCAGCACAAGUCUGGAGUGAAAUCCCGGGGCUUAACCCCGGAACUGCUUUGGAAACUGUGCGGCUGGAGUGCAGGAGGGGUAAGCGGAAUUCCUAGUGUAGCGGUGAAAUGCGUAGAUAUUAGGAGGAACACCGGUGGCGAAGGCGGCUUACUGGACUGUAACUGACGUUGAGGCUCGAAAGCGUGGGGAGCAAACAGGAUUAGAUACCCUGGUAGUCCACGCCGUAAGCGAUGAUUACUAGGUGUCGGGGGAUCAAGGUCCUCCGGUGCCGGCGCAAACGCAUUAAGUAAUCCACCUGGGGAGUACGUUCGCAAGAAUGAA
rnacentral:rRNA from 1 species